rnacentral:rRNA from 1 species
UCGAGCGGAUGAAGGAGCUUGCUCCUGGAUUCAGCGGCGGACGGGUGAGUAAUGCCUAGGAAUCUGCCUGGUAGUGGGGGACAACGUUUCGAAAGGAACGCUAAUACCGCAUACGUCCUACGGGAGAAAGCAGGGGACCUUCGGGCCUUGCGCUAUCAGAUGAGCCUAGGUCGGAUUAGCUAGUUGGUGAGGUAAUGGCUCACCAAGGCGACGAUCCGUAACUGGUCUGAGAGGAUGAUCAGUCACACUGGAACUGAGACACGGUCCAGACUCCUACGGGAGGCAGCAGUGGGGAAUAUUGGACAAUGGGCGAAAGCCUGAUCCAGCCAUGCCGCGUGUGUGAAGAAGGUCUUCGGAUUGUAAAGCACUUUAAGUUGGGAGGAAGGGUUGUAGAUUAAUACUCUGCAAUUUUGACGUUACCGACAGAAUAAGCACCGGCUAACUCUGUGCCAGCAGCCGCGGUAAUACAGAGGGUGCAAGCGUUAAUCGGAAUUACUGGGCGUAAAGCGCGCGUAGGUGGUUUGUUAAGUUGGAUGUGAAAUCCCCGGGCUCAACCUGGGAACUGCAUCCAAAACUGGCAAGCUAGAGUAUGGUAGAGGGUGGUGGAAUUUCCUGUGUAGCGGUGAAAUGCGUAGAUAUAGGAAGGAACACCAGUGGCGAAGGCGACCACCUGGACUGAUACUGACACUGAGGUGCGAAAGCGUGGGGAGCAAACAGGAUUAGAUACCCUGGUAGUCCACGCCGUAAACGAUGUCAACUAGCCGUUGGGAGCCUUGAGCUCUUAGUGGCGCAGCUAACGCAUUAAGUUGACCGCCUGGGGAGUACGGCCGCAAGGUU